rnacentral:rRNA from 1 species
UACGAGUGGUGCAAGCGUUAUUCGGAGUGAUUGGGCGUAAAGGGUGUGUAGGCGGCAUGUUAAGUCAAUUGUUAAAUUCCUCGGCCUAACCGAGGGUCAGCGGUUGAAACUGGCGUGCUAGAGGAUGGAAGAGAGAAGUGGAAUUCUCGGAGUAGCGGUAAAAUGCGUAGAUCUCGAGAGGAACACCGAUGGCGAAGGCAGCUUCUUGGUCCAUUCCU